CCAGUAAAAAACACCUACUAUCUAGUUUUUUCUCCAAGUCCUGCCUGAAAGGUACUUUGGCCUGGGUUUCUCUUUCCUCAGAUUUAUGGAAUUUGUGAUCUUAGAACUUUACCUAACUAUUUCAAGUCAGAUCUAACAUGGUAAGAGUAGUCAGCCAAGUAGCAGUUGUUUCGUACUCUAAAACAAUAGCAGAAAAUCAAAUCUGUGGGAACUGAGACUACCAUUUGAGUGGAUCCAGUGUUUCACUACACAUAGGUGAAACUGCUGUUCUACACACUUUCCAGGUUUCCUAAUUCAUACUAUACAUAUUACUAAUGGCAAAGUUGUAGAGGUGAAGCUUUCCCUACACAAAACAACAUCAUGGUAUCCAAACCACAGCCACAUUUCUUCAUUUAUAAAGGUUGGUAAAGAAGCAAGGAGCAAAAGAACUAUCCAGUAAAGUGCUUCACCUUGACUGACUGCACCAGGUCUAACAGGACUCUCAUUACAGAGCAUAAAAUGGAUUAAAAACUGUUUCGCAACCAAAAAUGUAUCUGCUUCACAAGUUACUGAAUGUGAAAGAAAGCUAAGGAAACUGAAUCAAAGGACAAAAUCCGGACAAUUGUGGCAUUGAC